AAAUAAGAAGCAUCUCAUUAUGCAUUUGAUUUCGACUUAAAAAAAGAGUAUUAAAUUUACUCCUUAUUUA
rnacentral:tRNA from 1 species